rnacentral:rRNA from 1 species
GCCAAGAGGGGAGAUAAAAAAUGUUUACAUUUACUUAUCCCCCUGGCGUAGUCCAGAGUUUAUUUCCAGGGUGAAACAAUUUGAGGGGGGUGUUAAGCUGAUAGGUGUUCAGGCGGUAAUCAUUCUUGUUUUGAGAUAUUUUUUUGGUGAGUAGGGUUUUUACACAUUACUAAUUUAUCCGGGAUUUAAUAUGAAAGGGUUACCAUAAAAACAACCGGGGGUCUAGGGUUGUUUAUUCACGUUAUCACCCAAAAUUAAGCUUGUAAGAAAGAAGAAAAAGGUGGAUAGGGCUUUACCUUUUGCAUAAGGAGUUAAUAAUUUUUUGUGUCCCAGGCCAGCUCCCGAUUCUAAGGGAGCUGGGGUUUUGUUUGUUUAGAACUGCGUGGGGGUUGUUGCACACCUCUUUAAAAUGUUCCCAGAAGCUAAAGGCUAGAUCGAACUUUAUAGGGGUAUCUGGAGACAAAUUAUUUUGGGUUAAGCUGGAAAAGUAGGUUUAAUCUUAUUUCUUAAAAUAGAAAAAGGGUAGGCUUACCAGCAGCUAUCUUGGUAAAUCGUUCCUGAUCAGAGGGAAAGUAUAGAGCAAAGGAGGUUAUUUAAUUUUGAAAAAGUAAGUUUUUCUCAACAAAAAGGGGCUUAUAAUGUUUUGAAAACGAGUACUAGUGGACCCUAAUAAGUAUUGCUUUAGGGUAUAUUUGAUGAACUCGGCAAAAUACGUUAGGACUGUUUAAUAAAAACAUAGCAGGGGGAAACGGGAACCUCUGUGAAGCCUGCCCGGUGCAGACGAAGUUGUUAACGGCGGCCUUAGCGUGAGGGUCGGAAGGUAGCGUAAUUAAUCGCUCUCUUAAUUGGAGGCAUGUAUGAAUGGUUUUUCAUAGCGCAGCUUUAUUAAAUGUAUUAUUGGAAACUGGAGUAGCAGUGCAGAUACUGUUAGAAAUUUGGGGGACAAAAAGACCCUAGAAGCUUUACCUAACGGUUUGGCUGGGAGGGCCCGUGAUAAACAGCAGUCUAUUGAUUGAACUUAUGGGAGGAUAAAAUGAGACACAUAUGGUGAUCAAAUGCGUUACAGUUGAAAAGUUACUCUAGGGUUAACAGACCAAUCCAACCCGAGAGACCUUAUCGACGGUUGGGCUAGGUACAUCGAUGUUGGCUUUAUAAUACUAUUUGGCGCAGAAGCUUAAUAAGUGGGUCUGUUCGACCUUUAAAUAUUACCGUGAGCUGAGUUUAGAACGUAGUAAUACAGUUCGGAUCCUAUCUCCAAUUUUGGUUUCCUCCUUUGUACGAGAGGACUUGGAGUCGAUUGAAGGUUUGUAAAUAAAAGUUUUGCUGUCUAGUAAAUAAUUAGUGGAGGGGGUAGUUUAAGAAGAAUGUUUCGUUGAAGCUGAAGA